GGAGAUUAACAAGUUUAAUUUCCUUUCAUGGUUCAUAGAACCAAUAAAUGCAUGAGUGGAAAUAUACCGCAACAGAGUUCCAAUACUGCCUAAAACUCAAAUUCAAGUUCAGACUUGCACAUUACCCAGCUCUACACACAGUAGUCCCCUGUGAGCACACUGCUUCUAAUUAAAUGUGAAAGAUGCUAAGGCCACGUGCUCUUAGGGUAAUUGUGUUGUAGUUACACAAAGGAUUAAGUUAGCUCUCAUAGUAACAUACAAAGAGUCCUUAAAUAAAAGGCUCUACAAAGUAAACUUUGCUAAUCAUCAUCAGUGGAGAUACAGGAGUAUUUGUCCUCCCAUGCGUAUGCCCUGUAGAAAGGAUGUGGAUUUUCUUUUACAGUACUUUUUACUGGUACUUCAAAACAAAACAAUGGAAGUGCUUCAUUCUUAAACAAACCCAGUUGACUGAAGUUACCGGAGCAAGAAAUCUGCUGUACAUAACUUGGCCCCAGCUCUGCUCAGUCUGCACACGUGGAAGGGAGCGGUGAGGAGCUGUGUGACACUGCGUGUAGGCACCACAUCUGAGGAAACCCUUUGCAAGGGUGGCUGUUGCCAAGCUGGCAGGAGGUGAGGCCGGACACCUACUCAAACAAAAAGUCAGGAAAACUUGAAAGAAAAGAAACCUCCCGUUUUCAAGCAAUUAGUGAUUAAAUCAUAAGAAUAUCAUUGCAUUCCACCCAAGGCAAGCAUUCUCGUAUUUCUUGCUUCACGCAGGAAGAGGGAGCAAGCACAAAGGUUUGACUAAAUAAAGUUCAGCUUUUGCCCAGCUGAGCUUUGUGCAGUUUGUAAUGGUACUUACAGCGAGCUGUUUGCAUAUAGGUUGGUUUGUUUCACAGCAAGUCUAGAUACGUAGAUGCUUUGUUACCUCCUUUCCAUCUUGCCAUGAGAACUGCUCAUAGCAACAAUCUUACUACAGAAAGUAACUUGCAUUUCAGAACCCCUGUUUUUACGUCUGAAUUCUUCCACUCACGAGGCAGUAUUGGUGAAGGAAAUGCCCACUGCUGCUUAUAAAGUGCAUUUUCCUCUUGAGAACAGGUCUGACAGGCUGCUCAAGUGCCUCUUCAACCACAGGCAGCACCACAACUCU
rnacentral:lncRNA from 1 species